GACGAACGCUGGCGGCGUGCUUAACACAUGCAAGUCGAACGGAAAGGCCCUGCUUUUGUGGGGUGCUCGAGUGGCGAACGGGUGAGUAACACGUGAGUAACCUGCCCUUGACUUUGGGAUAACUUCAGGAAACUGGGGCUAAUACCGGAUAGGAGCUCCUGCUGCAUGGUGGGGGUUGGAAAGUUUCGGCGGUUGGGGAUGGACUCGCGGCUUAUCAGCUUGUUGGUGGGGUAGUGGCUUACCAAGGCUUUGACGGGUAGCCGGCCUGAGAGGGUGACCGGCCACAUUGGGACUGAGAUACGGCCCAGACCCCUACGGGAGGCAGCAGUGGGGAAUAUUGCACAAUGGGCGGAAGCCUGAUGCAGCAACACCGCGUGCGGGAUGACGGCCUUCGGGUUGUAAACCGCUUUCGCCUGUGACGAAGCGUGAGUGACGGUAAUGGGUAAAGAAGCACCGGCUAACUACGUG
rnacentral:rRNA from 1 species